UUUCUUUCUUUCCAGAUAGAUGUGACCUUGCUUCCUCUUUGCCUCUUACACUGUGAAUGAAAAGCCGGAGAAAGAAGUUGCCUCUUAUGAGAUAAAGCAGAAGAAAGCCGAGACCAGAGGGCAGAUAUAUGAAGGGGGCCAGCAACAGGUUACCUGCUACCCAUACAAAGAUGUCAAUAACUGGAGGAUUGAGAAGGACCUUGCACAGUAAAGUGAGAGUGGGGAUGUAUUUCAUUCAGAGUUUAACUCAAGAAGGAGAAUCUGAUUAAAUUUCCACAAGCUGUAAGUGGUUGGAGAGAAAGCUUUGAAAGUUACCACCAAAGCCUGGUGUGGAACAUGGAGGAGCACAGAGAGGAGUCACUUCGACUUAUCUUUUCCCACCUCUCCACCAGGCUCAGAUUCAGCUCUUGGACAACCCAGUGAUACAGUAUUCUGCCAACCUCAGUGCCCUGACUUACUCUGCUUUACUGAUUUUCUACCUACUGCACCAGCGGAGAAGGAUCUACUACAUCCCACAAGGUCUGAUCAGAGCAGGGGGGUUAUGGGAGAUUAUACCCAAGUAAUAUGUUGGCAGGGCCAUCAGCAUGUGGGCACAGUUCCUGCUGCUGUCACUGACUCUGCUGCCGCUGGAGAAGGAUGAAGGAGCUGCCGGAUAUGAAGCCACUGGAGGGGGGUGAAGAAAUAUCUGCUGCUGAAUUUUAGAGCCUGGAAUAUCUGGAAAAAGAAGUAUUUAUUAACAACCUCACCACCCACUGCCCAGUUCAACACUACCAGCCACUGACUGAUUGGACCUCACCACGGUGCUACUUCCUGUCACCAUUCAGACCUCGGUGAUGCACACACCUGCUUUGUUAUGUCUGUAUGUGCCAGUGGGUACAUGAGUAUACAGGCUACAUUCCAUGAUGGGGAAUGGAGGGAGAUUCCCAGGAAUGACCAUUAGAAACAGAAUCUACAACCAGUUAAUCCAGUGUGAGAAUGCUUGGUGGAGCAGCUGUACCCACAGGAGGACUGGCACGUGUCACUCACAGAUACUGAGUGGGGUAUGAAGGAGUAUCACAGAAGGCGACCACUCCAGCAUCAACGGGAUGAAAGAAAAAUUCCAAAGAAUGAGAUCCUGAUAACCCGGCACAGCUCUCUCCAGAGCCAAGAUGAACGGGGACACACGAAGCAGAAUUUCCUCCUGGCAAGUGACAAGUGUCCGGAAGGCGUGGCCUUGUUCUCUUCCGCA